UACGGAGGGAGCUAGCGUUGUUCGGAAUUACUGGGCGUAAAGCGCACGUAGGCGGCUUUGUAAGUUAGAGGUGAAAGCCCAGGGCUUAACCCUGGAAUUGCCUUUAAGACUGCAUCGCUAGAAUCGUGGAGAGGUGAGUGGAAUUCCGAGUGUAGAGGUGAAAUUCGUAGAUAUUCGCAAGAACACCAGUGGCGAAGGCGGCUCACUGGCCCGAUACUGACGCUGAUGCACGAAAGCGAGGGGAGCAAACAGG
rnacentral:rRNA from 1 species